UCCUAGCCAAAGUAGUUAGUGGUGAGCACA
rnacentral:piRNA from 1 species